AGGUAUAUGACAAAUUUAAUGAAUCUGUUAGAAUUGCAAUGGUGGGAAAAUAUACAAAUCUUUCAGAUGCAUAUCUUUCUGUACUGAAGUAAUGUAAUCAGCAAUGGGUGUCUAUAUCACCCUACGAUUCUGAUGCAUGGAAACCUGGAUUUGGUAUACUAAGGCAAAGCAACAGAACCUUAAGAAAAUAAGGAAAAGUAAGAAAAAUGGCUAAAACGAAGCAUUGGUUUUUCAGAAUUUA